UUCCUCUCUAGGUAGGGCCCAAGAGCAAAUUAGGCAGGAGGGAGGGAGAAAAGACUUUUCCUCUCUAGGUAGGGCCCAAGAGCAAAUUAUACAGGGGCCAAUAGUAAUCCUCCAAAAUGAUUAGCCUCGACCUUGUACUUUUACUAUAGACUUCAAUAUUUACCUUAAAUUUUGAGUCCCAAUUGGUGAAACUUUUUAACAACCCA
rnacentral:lncRNA from 1 species